rnacentral:lncRNA from 1 species
UUACAUAUUUAUAUAACAAAAUAUACCCAAUUCAAGCCACAUCAAGUGGCUAAAUACAUGACAAAACACAUAGGCUAUCAUUAGCCAAAAUGACUUAUACAUGCCAUUUAACCCAAAAUAUAAAGUCAAAAGUACCAAAAUAAUGUUUGAUAGUGUGAUGAGAUCUCUGACAACUUCCAAUCCGAACAAGCUUUCGAAACACUAUAAAACACGAAAAAAUAAAC